rnacentral:lncRNA from 1 species
GGAUAUCGGUUUAUCUUGUUCUCCAGACUUCUCCUGUGGUUCAGCUUCAACUAAAGAUCCCUGUUCCUUCUGUAGUGAGACCUUAGCCUCGAGCUCCACACCUUGCCUCAUGUUAUGCAGUUUUUCUGAAUGAUCACCAUGAUUUGGUAUGUCUUCUUGUUUCUUUAACUCCUUUUGAGAUUCCAGUUCAGCUAUGGAUGCCUCCUUGUGUUGUGACAAGCCUUUGACCUCAAGCUCGUCAACUUCCUUCCCACUUUGCAGUGUCUCAAAAAGUUGAUCAAGAUUACGAUGUGCUUCAGUGAAAUGUGUUUGGAGGUUGUUAUUCCGGGAUUCAACAUUUUGGUUUGGAUCCUGAAUUCCAUGCAGCUUUUUCUCCAAUUCUCUCAGAUUGUGCCCCAAAUUUUUCACACUACCGGUGAGAGUAUCCUUAUCAUCUUCCAUGCUUUCAAUUUUUGUUUGAAGCUCACCAGUUUCUGUUCUCAAUCUCUUUACAAGAGCAGUCUGAGAUGAGACAACAGUUUGUAAGCUGAUCACCUUAUUCACGAGCUCAUCAAUCUUUUCUGCCAUUUCCGUCAUUGUGAGAGAUGGAUUCAACCCCAUUUCAAACUGCUCCUUCAUCUUCUUCCUCAACAACUCCAAUUCUUGUCCCUCCUCUUGUGUUGCACUCCCCACUUCUUCAUCUAAGCUUUCUAAUGUUUCUUCCGCUCCUGUGGAUUUAUGGUUGUCACAAGGUUUCUCUUGAUUGUUUUUGAAAGAAUCCAACUUCUCCCGAGCCUCAGUGAUCCUUUGGCGCCCCAUUUUUACUUCCUCAACUGUCUCCUCUUGUGUCUUCUGCAAAUUAUCCAAAGUCAUUUGGCAUGACCUCAAAGCAGUGGUGGCCAUCAGAUUACGAGCGUCUUCGUCCUCGAUGGCCAAACUGGCAUUGAAUUCGUCUUGCAGUCUGCUAUUUUUCUCUUGCAUUUCAGUGAUCUGCUUCUCAAUUUCCCAGUACUUGGCAAGCCCGAUUUCAUAAGAGCUCUUUACAAACUCCUUCUCAGUUUGUAGGGCCAGAAUCCCUUUUUGAAGCCUGUCAAUCUCUUUGAGUGCCUCAG